UACAGAGGGUGCAAGCGUUGUUCGGAAUUAUUGGGCGUAAAGAGCUCGUAGGUGGUUUGUCGCGUUGUUCGUGAAAACUCACAGCUUAACUGUGGGCGUGCGGGCGAUACGGGCAGACUGGAGUACUGCAGGGGAGACUGGAAUUCCUGGUGUAGCGGUGGAAUGCGCAGAUAUCAGGAGGAACACCGGUGGCGAAGGCGGGUCUCUGGGCAGUAACUGACGCUGAGGAGCGAAAGCGUGGGGAGCGAACAGG
rnacentral:rRNA from 1 species